AGGUACUGAUAUAGUUUGAGGUGGCUCAGGAUGUCGUAACAAGGGAGCCUGAUAAAGUUUCAGGUUUGAGUGAAUGGCGAACUGGUGAGUAACACGUGGGAAACCUGCCCAGAAGCGGGGGAUAACACCUGGAAACAGAUGCUAAUACCGCAUAACAACUUGGACCGCAUGGUCCGAGUUUGAAAGAUGGCUUCGGCUAUCACUUUUGGAUGGUCCCGCGGCGUAUUAGCUAGAUGGUGAGGUAACGGCUCACCAUGGCAAUGAUACGUAGCCGACCUGAGAGGGUAAUCGGCCACAUUGGGACUGAGACACGGCCCAAACUCCUACGGGAGGCAGCAGUAGGGAAUCUUCCACAAUGGACGAAAGUCUGAUGGAGCAACGCCGCGUGAGUGAAGAAGGGUUUCGGCUCGUAAAACUCUGUUGUUAAAGAAGAACAUAUCUGAGAGUAACUGUUCAGGUAUUGACGGUAUUUAACCAGAAAGCCACGGCUAACUACGUGCCAGCAGCCGCGGUAAUACGUAGGUGGCAAGCGUUGUCCGGAUUUAUUGGGCGUAAAGCGAGCGCAGGCGGUUUUUUAAGUCUGAUGUGAAAGCCUUCGGCUCAACCGAAGAAGUGCAUCGGAAACUGGGAAACUUGAGUGCAGAAGAGGACAGUGGAACUCCAUGUGUAGCGGUGAAAUGCGUAGAUAUAUGGAAGAACACCAGUGGCGAAGGCGGCUGUCUGGUCUGUAACUGACGCUGAGGCUCGAAAGUAUGGGUAGCAAACAGGAUUAGAUACCCUGGUAGUCCAUACCGUAAACGAUGAAUGCUAAGUGUUGGAGGGUUUCCGCCCUUCAGUGCUGCAGCUAACGCAUUAAGCAUUCCGCCUGGGGAGUACGGCCGCAAGGCUGAAACUCAAAGGAAUUGACGGGGGCCCGCACAAGCGGUGGAGCAUGUGGUUUAAUUCGAAGCUACGCGAAGAACCUUACCAGGUCUUGACAUACUAUGCAAAUCUAAGAGAUUAGACGUUCCCUUCGGGGACAUGGAUACAGGUGGUGCAUGGUUGUCGUCAGCUCGUGUCGUGAGAUGUUGGGUUAAGUCCCGCAACGAGCGCAACCCUUAUUAUCAGUUGCCAGCAUUAAGUUGGGCACUCUGGUGAGACUGCCGGUGACAAACCGGAGGAAGGUGGGGAUGACGUCAAAUCAUCAUGCCCCUUAUGACCUGGGCUACACACGUGCUACAAUGGAUGGUACAACGAGUUGCGAACUCGCGAGAGUAAGCUAAUCUCUUAAAGCCAUUCUCAGUUCGGAUUGUAGGCUGCAACUCGCCUACAUGAAGUCGGAAUCGCUAGUAAUCGCGGAUCAGCAUGCCGCGGUGAAUACGUUCCCGGGCCUGGUACACUCCCCCCGUCACGCCCAAGGGUCGUAACAGAGUAUGAUCAGGGCUCAACAAGUCGUAACACAGUACCGAAGAGUAGCC
rnacentral:rRNA from 1 species